UGAUUUUACUGUAUAACGAUCAACCAGAAAAAACUUCAGACUGUGAAUACUUGGAUUCAACGUCAGUAAUCAGCGAACAGAUUGUUGGUUUUUGUUUGAAUUGCUUGAACGUCUUACUCUAUUUUAUAUACGCUUAUACUUCAGUCAAUGACUUAAUUUUUACUGUUACAUCAUGUCAUAUGCCGCUUUUUUCAUUUUACUUUUGAUGUUGUUAUAAGUUGCAUUUAUGGUCUAC
rnacentral:misc_RNA from 1 species